GUUUAUAUGUCGGUUGCUUAUGUUUUUAGGGCCUUCUGUCCGGUUAUCAUUUUGAAGAUGUUGUCACAGUGAGUGGAGAGGAGGAAAACCUCGGCAGAGGGAUGCUGGGUGGUGAGAAGCUCAGAUCGUUCCAGACUCCAGAGCCAGUAAUGAGAGAUAAGUAAUGUUGAUAGACUAGUGGUAAUGCCAGUGACACAAGAGCCUGGACCAGCAAUGAAUGGAGGUAUGGCUCAAGGGUCAAGGGUCGCUGACCCCGAAGAACCAAACCAGCAACAUCGUGUUGGUAUUCAUGUUAGCGUGGUGGAGAACAACGCUGCCCGAGAAGGCAUUACCUUAGAAUCCUGCUUGGCGAGGGCGCAACAAACAAUCGACAUGAAAUGUGUGGUGUUUGGAAUAGUUGUUAUAAUUCUUGGAGCAGCUGUACGAAUCUUUUUCUACGGAGGAUCCACGAGUGGACUCACCUUCAUUUUUACGGCAGUGGGUGUCAUUAUGAUGGUGGUGGCGGCAUUCAUCUUUUACACCAAAACUGCGGGUGAGCGCCGGUCGCCGGAGCGCCCGAGCUACACCUCGGCGGAUGGCCCGUCUGUGAUCCACGUUCCGCCUGUGAUCCAUGUUCCGCCCGUGGUUCAUGUUCCGCCCGUGAUCCCCGCUCCGCCUGCGAGCGGUGGUCGAGACAGUCCGCCGCCAGACUACAGCUCGGUGAUGACGGACAGACAGACUGACCCGCCGCCGCCCUACACUGAAACAGUGGCUGAUGGUAACAGGGAGGUGCGCAAAGAGUGAAUAAGGCCUGACUGCCUUACCGUCUAGCAGAAGUCAAUGGUGCUAACAGAGAGGUGCGCAAAGAAUGGCUUAUGGCCUGACUGACUUACGGUCUAAUAGUGGCCGAUGGUGCUAAGUGCUAACAGCCGGGUGCGAAAGGAAUGGCUAAUGACCUGACUGCCUUACGGUUUAACAAAGGCCAGCAGAGAGGUUUAUAAGGAAGGAAUGAAAAACGGCCAGGUACAGUCUGCCGGUGACCACAGAUUGAGACGGGGGAUCCGUAUCCGUAAGAAGUGAGGCGAUGUCGUUUUACAGUCGGCACUGUAGACAAUAAGCUGAUGAAGACGUCUGUUUUGGACUGAGAUCUGACCGCGGCAUCCCUGCAGCCUGCAGCCUGACAUAGUGUUGACUACCUUAUGGAGACAAGAAGCACUAAUGAAGUAAGAUCUGACCGUCACCGAUGGCGGCUACCAAAGAGGCCAGUGAAUUUCUGUGCACUUGAUCAUGUAGAUCGGGGAUAUGUGAGCCAGAUGUAACGUUUUGUACAUAUUACGAGUACAUGCGGAAUGUGGCUAUCGUAUACCUCUUUAGACUAGUCUAGACCUAUUGUGCCUGGGCCAGACAAAGCCAGACCGGUGUGCUUUAAUCUUGUUCUGAUUGUGAUAUAAAGCGCCAGUGCUGCUUAUCUCAACUGCCUUUAUUAGAAAUGUUAUGUAGUCACUGUCCAACAACUUUUACAGCUUUAUCGUCUCGAUCACCAAGCGAAGCAUCUUUUUUAUGUCGCGUGAGAUGCGUGGAGUAAGGUGUUUUGUUGAAUGGGACGUAUGAUGUCAUGCUGCGUGUCGAGAUACCGAGCAAUAAUCGAGUGCCGGAUUUAUGCCCCCUGCAUUUACCAGAGCCUUGCCGGUGUCCAGAAGCACACGGAGAUAAAAACUGUGAUUGUCUUAGAUGUGAUGCGCUUUGAGCAGCUUAAUACACUAUCUUUUCAGUGA